GCGGGUAUAGUUUAGUGGUAGAACAUCAGCCUUCCAAGCUGAUUGCGUCAGUUCGAUUCUGUCUACCCGCACCA
rnacentral:tRNA from 1 species